GUCCCUUACUAUUUUCGGCAGCUUGCUUUUGAAAUCAGCAACCCUACUGAUAAAAUGAUCCAAUCAGUCCUUCCCAGUUGUCAAGACAACAGUUCAUAAUUGUACCAGCUCUUUUCAUUGCAGCUAGACAUUUCAUAAAUAGAUAAUUCUCUAAUUGAUCCAGCCAAUCCUACUUUGCAUACCCUGCCAAACUAGUUCUACUGGUGGAUGUAUGACACGUAGAGUUGUCCACAGAGGUAUUCCUGUUGAGGAAGAAGAUGGAGGGGGGCUGGAGCCUGGGAAGGCAAACUAUGACAACAAGAGCCACCAAGCGAAGGAAAGAGAAACAGUGACGGUAAGGAAUGAAAGAGCAAAGAGGGUGUGCUUCUAAAGGGUGCUACUCAUUAAAGGGAAAGAAAACCCCUCCAAACUUCUUUAAUUAUAUUUGUAAGGGCAAAAGUAACACAUAGCACAAAUGCUUCUGUCAUGAGAACGUUUUCAGUUCAAGCAAAAAUAAGAGCAGUUCCUCAGCACCAGUACUGGUGCUAAC
rnacentral:lncRNA from 1 species